AUGGAGUUUUAAGCCUAAAGGACAGUAUCCUACUUGCAGAAGAAGAUGGGAAAUGUAACAUUCCAUUAUCUUGCUUUGGAUUUAUGGAAAUUCUGAACAGUGAUGUGAGAGUGACUACAGUUUGAAGUAUCUGUUAAAUACAGCAACAUGACAUCACAAGGAUUGUUUUGGAGUCUUCUGGAUAUGAGAACAUUAUAAAAGGUGAAAAAGUAGAACUGAAAUAUGAAGGGAGAAAAAGAGACAAACAUGGUUUCAAGUCUCACUUAGAGAAGAAGGAUUGUUUAUUUAUUUGAUGGAAAUUGGGUCAAUUGAAGACUCUGACACAGAGAAUAACGGAAAUGGCUCACAUAUUAUGGUGGCUAAGAAGUCCUACGAUCUGCUGUCUUCAAACUGGAGAACCAUAAAUGUCAAUGGUGUAAUUCAGUCUGAAUCUGAAGGCCUAAGAACCAAGAGAAAUGAUGGUAUAAUUCCUGGUCUGAAUCCAAAAGCAGGAGAAGAUGUCCCAGUUCAAGCAGAAGGAAUAAAUUCAUUCUUUAUCUUCCUUCUUGUUCUAUUUGUGUCUUCCAUGGACUGGAUGUUGACUGUCCACAUUGGUG
rnacentral:lncRNA from 1 species